GCCAUUUUUUGAUUUCAAUGUCAGGAGCACUAAAAUUGAUCUGAAGCUUCAUGCGUUAAAUAUAGGCUAACGUUUUUUGUGCAUUUAGUAUUUGAGUCUAAAAACCAGUUUCAAAUUCUUAUCACUUUGAGCCUUGAAACUACUGAUGAUGUGUUCACUAGCACAAAUCAACAAUUGCAAAUGCCUCCACAGGCUACUGAUAAACAAUCCAAUGUCUAAUAUAAUCUAUACAAUCCCACUACGGUCCAUUAAUACAAUUAAAAUAUUACUCAAACAAGCAGUUUAACAGUUCAGGUGCAAACAUAUGUUCUUCAUUAUUUAACUUCGAAACAAGUUUCUACAAGUGAAUGCAAUCAUCAUCAUCACUUGAGCAUAAGAAUAUACCUGGAAAUUGUAAUAAAAAUGAAGAAAUAGGAAGUCAGCUAAGAUAAUAGCAAGCAGUAGCUUACAACCAAGGCAGCUGAAUCAAUUAUAAUUCCCAAAAAUACCACAGCAACUCAGAAUCAAUUUGCAGAUGAGUAAACACCAGCAAACAAACAAAAUCAGAUGAGAUUGGACCAAGAUGAGAUUGGACCAAAAUAAACCCGAAAUCGACCGGAAUUCCCUAAACUUGAACCAAAUGAGAUCCAGAAGACAUUCAAACCAUUUUUUAACCUUCUGUUAAGCUGAAAACUUUAUCUACAACUGAAAUUCAAGCUUAAACUAAGAGACUUCUAAUGGAACAGUAUUUUUAUGGGGUUUUCUAUAGCUUUUGAGUAUUUUUUGAACAUUUUCAGAUGAAAAAGAGAUUUUUGAAUUCUAGAUCUGGUUUUCUUAUCUGAAAUUCAAAUUUCAGUUUGUAGAGACUUAGGGAAUUUUUGGGGGGAAUUUUAGAUGCUCCAAAAACUUCUUCCCUAAUGUACUAGUCAUGCCUUUUUAUAGGCAAAAUGAGGGGCAGCCUUCAGAUUUCAGUUUUAGUCCUUAGUCCCUCAAUUAUUUUCAGAUUUUAACUAACUAGUCCCCUAGCUUACUGACUUGUUUCUCAAGUUAAUACACCUAAUUCCUGAAUUUACCUUAGAACCCCCAUCUAGAAACUUCUAGGAAGUUCUAUUUCAGUUAGUGCAAGAUUCCUACCCUUGAAUUACCUCAUUCACCCUUUAAUUAUUCUGAAACUACCAAUCUAACACCAAACUAUACCUCAGCCUUGUUUCCCCCUAAUCAAACCUAUCAUCUAUACCCAAACAAUCACUUUAACUAUGCUUAACUAAACAAGCUCUAAAUCAAAUGUUCAUGAGUGAACAAUCUCCUAAAAUCAAACUAGGUGGACAAAUUAAACCAAUUAUCAAGUUAAUCCUAUUAAUGAACUACAUUCAACAGCUAAAUCUAAUUGUAGUAAUUAAUUGGCUAACAGAGAAUCAAACCUAUUAAAACUUGCAAAAAUUAAACAAAACUGUAGAAACGCCUUUAAACUAAUCAUGACAUGCUUAACCCUAAAUUGAAAGCAACCAAACACAAUUGAAUUAACUAACCACACUCCACUAUUGAUCAAAAGAGGAUGAAGAACAAACAAAUAAAAUCAGACUAACCUAAUCGAAUACUAGUUUAAACGAACUGACAAAAGAAAAAUAAGGAGAAAUAAAAUAAAAUCCAAAAUUGAUUAAUCGAACAGAAAUAUUAGUCAACAAGAAGAAACUAAUGAAGAAUAACAAAUAACACUUUACCUACGGAGACCUAAGAUCCUGCCGCUCCCCCGAUUUGAAAUUCGACCCAUUCCAGCAAGAUUCAAACAUCACCAAUGGUGGAUUCUUCAUGAGGAGAGUGAGGAGAUCACGUGAUGUCGAUUUGACUAGAUUUGGAGUAUUUUAGGGUUUUACGCCAGACUUUGAUUUGAAAUUUGAGGAACUCGGCGGGGAUUCGAGGGAAAUGGCUUGGACAUUUGAGAUGAGGAAGUUAAGGUGAGGUUGUAGAGUAAUUUUGACCGGAUUUGGAAGAAGUGGGGUUUUGGCUGGAUUUUCAAAUGAAGAUUUGAAGAGAUGGGCAAUGAUUAGACGGGAACUUAAGGUAUAUUUGGAAAUAGGGGAACGAGAGGAAGCUACAGUGUUAUUUUGGGUGGGAACGAAGUGGUUUCCGUCGUCGAAGCCGGCGGGCUCGACGGAGUGUAACAGGGCGGCGUCUCUAGGGUUUGGAUAGGGUGUGAAUGAAAGAGAUGGACUGGGGGGGUAGAGGUCGAUUCAGACAGUUAAAUAUUAUGGGGGAAGGGCUUUUCGACUAUCCGAUUGAUAAAC
rnacentral:lncRNA from 1 species